UGGGGAAUAUUGGACAAUGGGCGAAAGCCUGAUCCAGCCAUGCCGCGUGUGUGAAGAAGGUCUUCGGAUUGUAAAGCACUUUAAGUUGGGAGGAAGGGCAGUAAGCGAAUACCUUGCUGUUUUGACGUUACCGACAGAAUAAGCACCGGCUAACUCUGUGCCAGCAGCCGCGGUAAUACAGAGGGUGCAAGCGUUAAUCGGAAUUACUGGGCGUAAAGCGCGCGUAGGUGGUUCGUUAAGUUGAAUGUGAAAGCCCCGGGCUCAACCUGGGAACUGCAUCCAAAACUGGCGAGCUAGAGUAGGGCAGAGGGUGGUGGAAUUUCCUGUGUAGCGGUGAAAUGCGUAGAUAGAGGAAGGAACACCAGUGGCGAAGGCGACCACCUGAGCUCAUACUGACACUGAGGUGCGAAAGCGUGGGGAGCAAACAGG
rnacentral:rRNA from 1 species